CAGCCGUAAACGAUGCUCGCUAGGUGUCAGGCAUGGCGCGACCGUGUCUGGCGCCGCAGGGAAGCCGUGAAGCGAGCCACCUGGGAAGUACGGCCGCAAGGCUGAAACUUAAAGGAAUUGGCGGGGGAGCACAACAACGGGUGGAGCCUGCGGUUUAAUUGGACUCAACGCCGGACAACUCACCGGGGACGACAGCAAUAUGUAGGCCAGGCUGAAGACCUUGCCUGAAUCGCUGAGAGGUGGUGCAUGGCGUAGACGUCU
rnacentral:rRNA from 1 species